rnacentral:misc_RNA from 1 species
GCAUCCUGGGAGCUGUCGAUUGGUUUGUUUCCGGUGGAUGGCUCUCUGCUUUUGCAACAACUUCCACCUGGCAUUCCUUUCAUUUCUGCGUCAAGGUUGCAUUUCCUUGAGCGCUUAUGGUUUCCUGUGUUGCCUACCUACGUGACGGUAUUGUUUGAUUACAUCAAGUCGUGUUUCAUCAUGUGUCAUCUGUAUGGCGUAGGAUGAACCUCGAAGCUGCUUCUAUGAUCCACCUUGGCGUUGCAUAUGCUUGACGUUGUGGCUUUGAGUUUUGCUUGGUUUUCUGGAUGCAGAACAUGAUAUGGGUGUGGGUCUUCGCGAUCCUUGUUUUGCCCUUGUUGAACGUUGUUAUUACUCCGAGAUGACUGCUUACCCGAAUUGGCUCGUACCACCGGGGUAGGUUGCGUUGUUGAAGAGCAAUACUGGCGUUCUUGCUUCUCUAAAACAGACAGCCUCGCCUUGAUGGCUCGUACCAGCGGGUGGGCUAUGUCGAAGAGGGAUGCUACCUGGUUGAUCCUGCCAGUAGUCAUAUGCUUGUCUCAA